rnacentral:rRNA from 1 species
GACGAACGCUGGUGGCGUGCUUAACACAUGCAAGUCGAACGGAAAGGCCCUGCUUUUGUGGGGUGCUCGAGUGGCGAACGGGUGAGUAACACGUGAGUAACCUGCCCUUGACUUUGGGAUAACUUCAGGAAACUGGGGCUAAUACCGGAUAGGAGCUCCUGCUGCAUGGUGGGGGUUGGAAAGUUUCGGCGGUUGGGGAUGGACUCGCGGCUUAUCAGCUUGUUGGUGGGGUAGUGGCUUACCAAGGCUUUGACGGGUAGCCGGCCUGAGAGGGUGACCGGCCACAUUGGGACUGAGAUACGGCCCAGACUCCUACGGGAGGCAGCAGUGGGGAAUAUUGCACAAUGGGCGGAAGCCUGAUGCAGCAACGCCGCGUGCGGGAUGACGGCCUUCGGGUUGUAAACCGCUUUCGCCUGUGACGAAGCGUGAGUGACGGUAAUGGGUAAAGAAGCACCGGCUAACUACGUGCCAGCAGCCGCGGUGAUACGUAGGGUGCGAGCGUUGUCCGGAUUUAUUGGGCGUAAAGGGCUCGUAGGUGGUUGAUCGCGUCGGAAGUGUAAUCUUGGGGCUUAACCCUGAGCGUGCUUUCGAUACGGGUUGACUUGAGGAAGGUAGGGGAGAAUGGAAUUCCUGGUGGAGCGGUGGAAUGCGCAGAUAUCAGGAGGAACACCAGUGGCGAAGGCGGUUCUCUGGGCCUUUCCUGACGCUGAGGAGCGAAAGCGUGGGGAGCGAACAGGCUUAGAUACCCUGGUAGUCCACGCUGUAAACGGUGGGUACUAGGUGUGGGGUCCAUUCCACGGGUUCCGUGCCGUAGCUAACGCUUUAAGUACCCCGCCUGGGGAGUACGGCCGCAAGGCUAAAACUCAAAGGAAUUGACGGGGCCCCGCACAAGCGGCGGAGCAUGCGGAUUAAUUCGAUGCAACGCGUAGAACCUUACCUGGGUUUGACAUGGAUCGGGAGUGCUCAGAGAUGGGUGUGCCUCUUUUGGGGUCGGUUCACAGGUGGUGCAUGGCUGUCGUCAGCUCGUGUCGUGAGAUGUUGGGUUAAGUCCCGCAACGAGCGCAACCCUUGUUCACUGUUGCCAGCACGUUAUGGUGGGGACUCAGUGGAGACCGCCAGGGUCAACUCGGAGGAAGGUGGGGAUGACGUCAAGUCAUCAUGCCCCUUAUGUCCAGGGCUUCACGCAUGCUACAAUGGCUGGUACAGAGAGUGGCGAGCCUGUGAGGGUGAGCGAAUCUCGGAAAGCCGGUCUCAGUUCGGAUUGGGGUCUGCAACUCGACCUCAUGAAGUCGGAGUCGCUAGUAAUCGCAGAUCAGCAACGCUGCGGUGAAUACGUUCCCGGG